rnacentral:rRNA from 1 species
GACGAACGCUGGCGGCGUGCUUAACACAUGCAAGUCGAGCGAUGAAGUUCCUUCGGGAAUGGAUUAGCGGCGGACGGGUGAGUAACACGUGGGUAACCUGCCUCAUAGAGGGGAAUAGCCUUUCGAAAGGAAGAUUAAUACCGCAUAGGAUUGUAGUACCGCAUGGUGCAGCAAUUAAAGGAGUAAUCCGCUAUGAGAUGGACCCGCGUCGCAUUAGCUAGUUGGUGAGGUAACGGCUCACCAAGGCGACGAUGCGUAGCCGACCUGAGAGGGUGAUCGGCCACAUUGGGACUGAGACACGGCCCAGACUCCUACGGGAGGCAGCAGUGGGGAAUAUUGCACAAUGGGGGAAACCCUGAUGCAGCAACGCCGCGUGAGUGAUGACGGUCUUCGGAUUGUAAAGCUCUGUCUUCAGGGACGAUAAUGACGGUACCUGAGGAGGAAGCCACGGCUAACUACGUGCCAGCCGCCGCCGUAAAAC